rnacentral:rRNA from 1 species
UACGUAGGGGGCUAGCGUUGUCCGGAAUCAUUGGGCGUAAAGCGCGUGUAGGCGGUUUGGUAAGUCCGCUGUGAAAGUCGGGGGCUCAACCCUCGAAUGCCGGUGGAUACUGUCGAACUAGAGUGCGGAAGAGGCGAGUGGAAUUCCUGGGUGUAGCGGUGAAAUGCGCAGAUAUCAGGAGGAACACCAAUUGCGAAGGCAGCUCGCUGGGACGUAACUGACGCUGAGACGCGAAAGCGUGGGGAGCAAACAGG